rnacentral:rRNA from 1 species
ACGAACGCUGGCGGCGUGCUUAACACAUGCAAGUCGAACGAUGAUGCACGGUGCUUGCACUGUGUGGAUUAGUGGCGAACGGGUGAGUAACACGUGAGUAACCUGCCCCUUACUUCGGGAUAACCAUUGGAAACGGUGGCUAAUACUGGAUAUGACCUGUCACUGCAUGGUGGUGGGUGGAAAGAUUUUUUGGUGAGGGAUGGGCUCGCGGCCUAUCAGCUUGUUGGUGGGGUGAUGGCCUACCAAGGCGACAACGGGUAGCCGGCCUGAGAGGGCGACCGGCCACACUGGGACUGAGACACGGCCCAGACUCCUACGGGAGGCAGCAGUGGGGAAUAUUGCACAAUGGGCGAAAGCCUGAUGCAGCGACGCCGCUUGGGGGAUGAAGGCCUUCGGGUUGUAAACCCCUUUCAGUAGGGAAGAAGCGUAAGUGACGGUACCUGCAGAAGACGCGCCGGCUAAACUACGUGCCAGCAGCCGCGGUAAUACGUAGGGCGCAGCGUUGUCCGGAAUUAUGUGGGCGUAAAGAGCUCGUAUGAGGCUUGUCGCGUCUGUCGUGAAAGUCGUGGGCUUAUGCCGGGAUCUGCUCUGGGUACAGGCAGGACUAGAGUGCGUCAGGGGUGGCUGGAAUUCCUGGUGUAGCGGUGGAAUGCGGCAGAUAUCAGGAGGAACACGGAUUGCGAAGGCAGGUCUCUGGGCAUUAACUGACGCUGAGGAGCGAAAGCAUGGGGAGCGAACAGGAUUAGAUACCCUGGUAGUCCAUGCCGUAAAACGUUGGGCACUAGGUGUGGGGGACAUUCCACGUUUUCCGCGCCGUAGCUAACGCAUUAAGUGCCCCGCCUGGGGAGUACGGCCGCAAGGCUAAAACUCAAAGGAAUUGACGGGGGCCCGCACAAGCGGCGGAGCUGCGGAUUAAUUCGAUGCAACGCGAAGAACCUUACCAAGGCUUGACAUGGACCAGACCGCAUCAGAGAUGGUGUUUCCCUUUUAGGGCUGGUUCACAGGUGGUGCAUGGUUGUCGUCAGCUCGUGUCGUGAGAUGUUGGGUUAAGUCCCGCAACGAGCGCAACCCUCGUUCCAUGUUGCCAGCACGUGAUGGUGGGGACUCAUGGGAGACUGCCGGGGUCAACUCGGAGGAAGGUGGGGACGACGUCAAAUCAUCAUGCCCCUUAUGUCUUGGGCUUCACGCAUGCUACAAUGGCCGGUACAAAGGGUUGCGAUACUGUGAGGUGGAGCUAAUCCCAAAAAGCCGGUCUCAGUUCGGAUUGGGGUCUGCAACUCGACCCCAUGAAGUUGGAGUCGCUAGUAAUCGCAGAUCAGCAACGCUGCGGUGAAUACGUUCCCGGACCUUGCACACACCGCCC